rnacentral:rRNA from 1 species
GACGAACGCUGGCGGCGUGCCUAAUACAUGCAAGUUGAACGCUGAAGGUUGGUAUUUUUGCCGUAUGGCUGGGCAGCGAACGGGUGAGUAACGCGUGGGUAAUCUGCCUUCGAGAGGGUGACAAAUUUCAGAAACGAAUGCUAAUACCUCAUAAAAACGACAAACACAAGCUUGAUGUAUGAAAGAUGCAAUUGCAUCACUCAAACAUGAUCCCGCAGUGUAUUAGCUAUUUGGUGGGGUAAAGGCCCACCACGGCGAUGAAAAAUAGCCGACCUGAGAGGGUGAUCGGCCACAUUGGGACUGAGACACGGCCCAAACUCCUACGGAGGGCGGCGGAGGGGAAUUUUCGGCAUGGGAGACAGUCUGAACGGGCAACGGCGCGUUGAGGGAGGAAGGUCUCGGGUCGGAAAAGCCUGGUUGUUAGGGAAAACCUGGGUAUGGGUGAACUGCUAAGCGAGUGACGGUAACUACCCAGAAAGGCACGGCUAACUACGUG